UCCUGGCUCAGGAUGAACGCUAGCUACAGGCUUAACACAUGCAAGUCGAGGGGAAACGAUAGAGAAAGCUUGCUUUUUCUAGGCGUCGACCGGCGCACGGGUGAGUAACGCGUAUCCAACCUGCCCAUCACUUGGGGAUAACCUUGCGAAAGUAAGACUAAUACCCAAUGACGUCUCUAGAAGACAUCUGAAAGAGAUUAAAGAUUUAUCGGUGAUGGAUGGGGAUGCGUCUGAUUAGCUUGUUGGCGGGUAACGGCCACCAAGGCGACGAUCAGUAGGGGUUCUGAGAGGAAGGUCCCCCACAUUGGAACUGAGACACGGUCCAAACUCCUACGGGAGGCAGCAGUGAGGAAUAUUGGUCAAUGGACGAGAGUCUGAACCAGCCAAGUAGCGUGCAGGAUGACGGCCCUAUGGGUUGUAAACUGCUUUUAUAAGGGAAUAAAGUGAGUCUCGUGAGACUUUUUGCAUGUACCUUAUGAAUAAGGACCGGCUAAUUCCGUG
rnacentral:rRNA from 1 species